rnacentral:ncRNA from 1 species
AUUCCAGAGGUGAUAUGGCUUAGACCAUAUCACUCCGGCAGCAAGCGAAGGUGUCGUUGACACCCGUGGUAUAGUCCCCCCGGCUAUACCACGACAUUUUUUU